rnacentral:rRNA from 1 species
UGGGGAAUUUUGGACAAUGGGCGAAAGCCUGAUCCAGCAAUGCCGCGUGUGUGAAGAAGGCCUUCGGGUUGUAAAGCACUUUUGUCCGGAAAGAAAUCCUUGGCUCUAAUACAGUCGGGGGAUGACGGUACCGGAAGAAUAAGCACCGGCUAACUACGUGCCAGCAGCCGCGGUAAUACGUAGGGUGCAAGCGUUAAUCGGAAUUACUGGGCGUAAAGCGUGCGCAGGCGGUUUGCUAAGACCGAUGUGAAAUCCCCGGGCUCAACCUGGGAACUGCAUUGGUGACUGGCAGGCUAGAGUAUGGCAGAGGGGGGUAGAAUUCCACGUGUAGCAGUGAAAUGCGUAGAGAUGUGGAGGAAUACCGAUGGCGAAGGCAGCCCCUGGGCCAAUACUGACGCUCAUGCACGAAAGCGUGGGGAGCAAACAGGAUUAGAUACCCUGGUAGUCCACGCCCUAAAACGAUGUCAACUAGUUGUUGGGGAUUCAUUUCCUUAGUAACGUAGCUAACGCGUGAAGUUGACCGCCUGGGGAGUACGGUCGCAAGAUUAAAACUUAAAUGAAUUGACGGGGUCAUAGCUG